AGGAAUAUUGGUCAAUGGGCGUAAGCCUGAACCAGCCAGGUAGCGUGAGGGAAGACUGCCCUAUGGGUUGUAAACCUCUUUUGUGCGGGGAUAAAGUGUGGGACGUGUCCCAUAUUGCAGGUACCGCACGAAUAAGGACCGGCUAAUUCCGUGCCAGCAGCCGCGGUAAUACGGAAGGUCCGGGCGUUAUCCGGAUUUAUUGGGUUUAAAGGGAGCGCAGGCCGUCCUUUAAGCGUGCUGUGAAAUGCCGCGGCUCAACCGUGGCACUGCAGCGCGAACUGGAGGACUUGAGUACGCACGAGGUAGGCGGAAUUCGUGGUGUAGCGGUGAAAUGCUUAGAUAUCACGAAGAACUCCGAUUGCGAAGGCAGCUUACCGGAGCGCAACUGACGCUGAGGCUCGAAAGCGCGGGUAUCGAACAGGAUUAGAUACCCUGGUAGUCCGCGCGGUAAACGAUGGAUGCCCGCCGUUGGGAUUUAGAUUUCAGCGGCCAAGCGAAAGCGUUAAGCAUCCCACCUGGGGAGUACGCCGGCAACGGUGAAACUCAAAGGAAUUGACGGGGGCCCGCACAAGCGGAGGAACAUGUGGUUUAAUUCGAUGAUACGCGAGGAACCUUACCCGGGCUUGAAUUGCAGGAGAACGAUCCAGAGAUGGUGAGGCCCUUCGGGGCUCCUGUGAAGGUGCUGCAUGGUUGUCGUCAGCUCGUGCCGUGAGGUGUCGGCUCAAGUGCCAUAACGAGCGCAACCCCUGUCCAUAGUUGCCAUCAGGUCGUGCUGGGCACUCUGUGGAGACUGCCGCCGUAAGGUGUGAGGAAGGUGGGGAUGACGUCAAAUCAGCACGGCCCUUACGUCCGGGGCUACACACGUGUUACAAUGGGGCAUACAGCGAGUUGGAUGUGCGCAAGUACGUCCGGAUCAAUAAAGUGCCUCUCAGUUCGGACUGGGGUCUGCAACCCGACCCCACGAAGCUGGAUUCGCUAGUAAUCGCGCAUCAGCCAUGGCGCGGUGAAUACGUUCCCG
rnacentral:rRNA from 1 species